AGUUAACUCACUUGCAAGAUGGCCUUGUUUUUGGUAUCUUCUGAAUGAACUAAAUAGAAGAAAGAGAACUCCGGCACCUCAAGUGGCCCUUUGUGAUCAUUUUCUGUGGUUCAACUAACUACCAAGCCUGGAGAUGCCCUGAACUUCUGAGAAUGUGGGCAUAUUUUCAUGAGAACCUGGGAAGAAGUCUCCAUGUAAUCAGGUAUAUUGAGUUCCACUUGGAUUUUAUGGAGGCAUCAAAAUUCUCCCAAGUGAUCACAUUACUUUAUAAAAGGAGGUGCAAGGCAAGUGGAGACCAACUAAAGGAGACACUGAGCUGCCUCUCUCUACUCUUCCCCCCAGCUCUUUUCUCCCAUGCUCAGCUAUGCCCACAUGUUUGUUUGCUUUCUUACUAUUUAAAUAAACUUUAUCACUUUGUGUGCCAUAUAUAUGGCUGUAUUUAAAAUGCUCUUAUUAAACUCUACUUCUACAUCAUGUGUGUAGAAUCAUGUGUGUAUUUUGUUUUUCCUUUACAUACAGUGAUAGCUACUACAUUCAUGCCCAAUUUCUUAUAUUUCAAGAAAUUUUCUAAAUUUGGGGGAAUAGCAGCAUAGUCCUCUUUCAUUUGAGAACAACUUACCCUAAAGCCAUGUAGAGCAAUCACGAGAAACAGCUCUUGAGACCUGUCUGAGGUGUGUCCAGACACAGCUAUUACUUUUAUCCACCAGGUAAAUUUGACUUGAGCAAUGUAUACACACACACACACACACACAUACAUAUGUAAGGUCUAUUUUUUCGUUGACAUCUGGAGCAAGCUUGUGCAACCCUUUGUGAAAAGUUUAAGGAUCAAAGACAAAAAGGCACGGAAGAAGAUAAAGAAGAGAUAAACCACUAACUCACAGCCAAUGUAGAUUUAUUUAGGAAUAAACCUGAGAGGGGCUCACUACCA
rnacentral:lncRNA from 1 species